rnacentral:misc_RNA from 1 species
AAGUCGUAACAAGGUCUCCGUUGGUGAACCAGCGGAGGGAUCAUUACCAGAGAGUUGCAAAACUCCCUAUAACCCUUUGUGAACCUCACCCGUUCCGUAGUGUCUCCGGCAGGUAUCCCCAGGGGAGGGGACCUGUGCCAUCAGGCGCCUGCCGGAGGGCUCAACACAAACUCUUUUAUGGCGUCUGCCACUGCUGUCUGAGGCACUAUAGAAAUAAAUCAAAACUUUCAACAACGGAUCUCUUGGUUCUG